GCACUUUUUUACGAAGCAAUUGUUUGUUGUACUCAUUGUGAGCCGUGCUGUUAUUGCAGGUUGCCGCUGCACCAUUGACGAUUGAGUUGUUGGAAUUGGGAGGUUGAUCCUGGAAACAUUGUCAACUCCGUAGGAGUAGAAAAGGGGUCGUUGUUUUGAGAAAAGUUUUCCUUCAUUUCCAAAGGAAUUAGGCUGCGCUGGAGGGGUCACUUGUGGUGCAAAGGGCCUUUCGAGAUUUGCUUGGUGUUUAUGGAUGUGAAGUCCAGCACAUGUCUGCAGCAGGGCAUCGCCUUACGUUUCGCAACAUUCCAAAGCAUAUUUUGUACGCCAUACACGAAAUGCAGUCUCAACGUGGUUGUUUAGACGGACUUGAAGCACAAAAAUCACGUCUUGUAGUUCACAUCAUGCCGACACUCAUUUACGGAGGACAUGCUGAGUUUGGUUUGUGAGCAUAAAGGUUGGAAGCACCUGUUGCUGAACCAACAGAGACUGUUUUUUGAACCAGAACUAGAAUUUAUCCUUUGAGGAGUACUUGGUGCACUUCCAGAUAUUUUCUUUCCUUCAAGAGGUCUGAAUCAUGAGAAAUUGACAACCUUCCAAGGGAUCUUGUUCCUUUGAGUAAUGGAUCCGGAUUUUGUGAGCUAGAUAGCCUAACCUUAGCUGUGAUUUCAUUCAGUACAGUUGUAUUUCCACUUGAGGAUUUAGAUUCUGCACUGCCGUUGAUGAGCUAGAGCAUAUGCCAUGGCUUUCUCGCGUUUUGCUGCA